UGUGACAUCACAAUGCUCCAAUGUUACAUCACAAUACUCCAAUAUGCCAGCACUGUGGCUCCAUGUGCCAUUAUAGUGCUAAAAUGUGCCAUCAUAAUG
rnacentral:miRNA from 1 species